GUGCAUCAAAGAAAUACACAGUGGGCAUGUAGUUUUGUUUGACGUUCUGAACCAUUUGUAAAUACACUCAGAGUGGAAAAUAUUGUUACAUGUAUGGCAUCUUUUUCUCGGCAAUGACCUGUAUUGGGGAUGCACAAUUGAAUAGCAGAUAAGGCAGUCUUCCACGCCAUCCAAGUAUAAGGAUAAAUUAUUUAUCCACGUUAGAAUGGCGUGAGUGACAUUUUUGUACCUAACAGCUUUAAUGACAGAAAUGAGCCAGUUAGAAUUUUGUUUCUUAGACACUCCAACAACACUUGGGAUAUUCACUUUCGGAAUAACUAAUGGAUGAUGUUGGGAGAAAGUAAAAGAGAGCGUCGCAGUGAAUCCACGCUCAGAAUAGCUCAUUUUAAUUGCCCUAGAUGAUACAUUAUGAUCAAAUGUGAUUUUCCUAUCUGGGUUUGACAUUUUCUCAAUAAUUAGAGGGAUAUGAUUGAGUUCUAUUGGGAUAAUGAUAGGCGAAAAGUAGUUAAUUACCAAUUUUUGUAGAAUAGCUUGAGUUUUAUUAUUAGAAUUGCGCAACCAUAUUUCGCGUAGUAUUCUUGGGAAAUAUGUAGUUAGAGAGAGAAUUAUCCUAGUGGCCAGAAGCCAUGUAAAAUAUAGGUUGCUUGAGUCCCAUACCAUUGAUUCUGAAUUUGAGUUUGGGUCCAACUGAAGGAUCUCCUCGAGGUUAGCAGUAAGUAAUUUGCGUCUUUCAUUGUUUGAAGAAUGUUUGAAUAAUGCCAGCCAGUUUGUUUGAGAAUUAAUCAUUUUGUUAGAGUAUGAUUCUAUGGAAUUACCUGUUUCUUCGACUCUGAUGUGAUCCUCCAAAAUUACCAGUGUUUGAAAAGCAAGCUCAACCAAAACAUGAAUUAAGGACAGUUUAAUGGUUUUUUGCGUGAUUUCUAGAACAUCAGAGGCAUCUAAAAUAUCCACCAAGCCGGAAAACGUUGUAUUUUUUAAAACUAUCUCAUCUUGAAUUAAUUCUGAGCUUUUUCUUCCUUUAACAAAGAAUUGCAAUGCCUGGCAAAUAGAAACAUCUUCGUCUUCUAGAUACGAAGGAAGGAAGUCGCUAUUGACCUCAGAUUUAAGAUUCACUUGUUUUUCUCUGACCGCUUCUCCUAUUACUAUUGGGUUUAACUCUAAUAAUGAUUCAAUACAAGGGGUUAAGUUCUUCUCUAUAGUUUUAAUGUUUGGGUUUUCUUUAUCAGUGCAAAUAACAAAAUCCUCGGAAAUCAAUUUUGGUAAAAUGAAAUUCCAGCAUCCUAAUCUUUGCGAAGCAUCUAUGUAUAUUGAAUUCAAAAAGCUUAAGCUUCCAGAAAUUUCUGUUGAAGGAUCAUCUUUUUUUUCAAAAUAAGACACGUUAAUUGCGCUAAAGUAUGUUUCCAAUAGCUGUUGAGCUAAAGAAGGUCCAAUCAGUCUUCUCCAGUGAGAAGCUAUUACUUCUAUCCCUCUUUCAAAGUUUUCUGAGUCAGAAUCUAAAAUUAAUGGUUUUCUUUCAGGAUUAUUAAGGCAUUCAGAGGUAUUCGUUUCAUGAUUUAUAUUUGCAUGUAAAGUUUCAUAUUUAUCUUCUUGUUCAUCCUGGUCUUGAUCUUCAAUUUCAUCAAAAUCGCUAUCUUUAUUCUUAGAUAUUAAAUAUUCCCUUAUGCAGUGAUCAAGCUUCUCUAUACUAGAUAUGGCACUGUUUAAAUCAGAGUAUUCAUAUUGUACGUUAUGC
rnacentral:antisense_RNA from 1 species